UCUGACCAGUUUGUAUCCAGUUCCAACCCAAAUAAUCGAUAUCUCUCCAAAUAAUCGAUAUCUCUCCGUCUCCCCCGGCAGAAAAAUCGAGUCUUCCUUCCGCCGAGCCGCCGUAACCCUAGCUAGCUUCGCGGAUUCGUCGCGGGCGCCCUCCAGUGGAUUCGCUUGAACAUCUUGCUGAAUUAGUAGUAUCGAUUGGAGCAGCAGACAUUGGUGGUGAGAUGAUGGGUAGCAGCAAGAGAACGAGUGUCGUGCCAUCCUCUGGCGAGGCUGUGAAGACUACGGCAGAGGCGUUCCCAAGCAACAAGAGGAAGAAGGCCGUUAUAGCUCUUUGUGCACGGUUGCUUCCUGAUGACAUGAUGCUGGAGGUGCUGCUUCGGCUCCCUGUCAAAUCCAUUCUCCGCUUCCAGGCCGUCUGCCGCUCUUGGGCUGCACUCUUCUCCUCCAAGGAUUUCUGCAGCCUCCAUAUGGCAACAUCCAAGGUGCCACCACAAGCACCAAAGCUACUAGUUGUCUCCCCCACAGCAGAACUGGACUCCACCACAGUAUGCUCAUACUCACCGUCAGGCUCAAGCUCAAGAAAUGCUUUACUCUUCACCGUUGACUCUGCCCGCCGCAACUCCAUGGAAGUAGUGAUGCCCUCACCUUGCUGUGGACUCACCCUUCUAUUUGAUGCUGUUGCACCAGCUUACUAUGUUUGCAAUGCAUCCACAAGGGAAGUCACACGUUUGCCACCUCACAGUCUUCCAAAAUAUGAUUCCAGUGCUGGACUGGGAUUUGAUGCCCGGACAAGGGAGUACAAGGUCGUCAGGUUGAUCAAUGGGUUAUCUGAUGAGAAGGAGACGAUCAGGUGUGAUGUGUACACACCUGGAGCUGAUCGCUGGAGGCCUGCGGCUGGAGGAGUACCCUUCAAGUGGUCCCUGUUUGCAAAUUCUGCAGUUGCUCAUGCAAUGGUGAACAAAAUACCACCUGUGUUUGUCAAUGGAUUUCUGCACUGGUUGAUCAAUCCUUCUCUAUUCUUCAGAAGGCCAAGAGCUGCUAUCAUAUCCUUUUCUGUUGCAGAGGAAACCUUCGGAUGUGUCCAAUCACCGCCAUUCUGGGGACCAGAAGAGCACCUGCGCUCCUGGUCCCAGUCAGAACGAGAGCACCUGGUUGUGAUGGAUGACCAGCUGUGCAUUGUCCGGGACCUUCGCAACAGAACCCCUGAUGGUAGCACCUUGGAGAUUUGGGGACUGCUGGAUUAUGGCUCUGGUGAUUGGUCCCUGAAACAUCGAAUUGAUUUGUUUGGGCAGGUCAGAACAGAAUUAGGUGAGCCAAAGGUUGUGAGGGUUAUUGGUUCUGUCGGCAAUAGCACUUUGGGGAAGAAAAUUGUCAUUGCUACUAGCGAGCGUUGGGUUCAUGAAAAGUUUCAGAAGAAGGUCUACACCUAUGAUCCUAGGUGUCAAGUUCUGGAGGCCAUUCUUUCAGUCACCGAGACACACCCCCGGCUUACGCGUUUGAUCCCUGGUUCAAGGUUUAGCCUGUUUGAAGAGAGUCUUACUCCAGUGCAUAAAACGGAUGAUGAGCUAGCCAUGCCAUAUACCCUGGCUAAGUUAACUAAAGUAACUACUACUACAAACUAAUUCAGCCAUACCGGCGAUAUUUAGCAGUGGCUUGGAUUGAUUGAGAGCGAAAACUUCAGCUAAAAGACCGAAGGGCGCUGUUGUGGUGAUCUUCUAUCACCUAAGGACUUGAAGAAACCAUUUGAUAUGAUCUUACCUGGUUAAUAUGCAAAUCUGUUGUGUACUUGGUCCUUAUAUACACUUGAAUACACAUCAAAUCUAUGCUGCGUGAUAGUAGGUGCAUGAAAAGGUCAUAUUGCUAUGAUGGAUAUAUGUUGAAUAUAUGGAUGUCAUCAAGGAUUUUCAGGAACAAUGGCAAAUCGUUGGAACUUCAGUCUCUGGAUAAACACCUCCUCUUGGUAUCAGUAUGAACAGCUUCCGGCAGCUCUACUAUCAAGAUAUGAGUACCACUGUACCAGUGAGACGAUCAAACGAGAAGGCCUCCCAAACCAGUGACAUGACAUAUUUUUGGGUACACGUCAGGGCAGAAGGGGCAAUCGGAGAUGGACAGGCACCCAAUGCGAUGAAGGCACAGGUAUGGGUAUUCUGGUGACGCAUGAUCGAGACUAAGAUAUUGACCUUCAUGGAGCAAAAUCACCGCUGCUGACCAGUUCGCAACUGGUGUCCCCUGCCUGCCUGCAUGCUUCCAUGGUGUCCCCUGCCUGUGCCUGACCGCAUGCUUCCAUCUCCUGUCCACGAACCUCGUGCUAUAUCUGAGCCUCUGAUGGUUAUGAUUUUAUUUUAUCUUUGUCGAUUGGCGCAAAGCUCAGAGUAGGUUCUCACAUUUCGGUAAAUACAUACCAUGGCAGUUCUCAGGAUGGACUUGUGGUCGUGGAAGGAGGUCCUUGUAUGGUUUGUUUCUUAAGAGUAACACAUGAUUGGUUUGUAAGUUGCCAAUUCGGAGCCAUUUGUCUCAUGGCUUUGAUCAGGCAGAUGCUUGGUCCUAGAGGGCUAUCAUGUUUUCUACCAAGUGCACUCUUAGGUAUAGGAAGAAAAUGGUUUAAAAUAUUUUUUUUCGUGG